UUCGGUGACUAUAGCAAAGAGGAUACACCCGUUCCCAUCCCGAACACGGAAGUUAAGCUCUUUAGCGCCGAUGGUACUGCGUGGGCGACUGCGUGGGAGAGUAGGACGUUGCCGAAA
rnacentral:rRNA from 1 species